CACAUCAAAAAAAAGAAACAUCAUGACCAAAACAAUCCCAAAAUCACCUUCAAAAUCAACAACACCAACCGCCAAAACAAUCUCAAAAUCACCAGAAACAACACACAGCAGAGUCUUCACUGAAAGUGACGAAAUCCAACUCCUCAAAUCCUUUUAAAAUCCCCAAACAACUCUUCUAGUCUCCCUAACAGCAAUUUAACAAAGACCCAAAUCGCAAAAAAGGUUAAAAGACUUAAAGAAAAGUACCACAAGUUUGCUAGAAGCAAAUCCUUAAUUAAAACCCCACAUGAUGGUAAGAUUUAUGAAAUUGGACGAAAAAUUUGGGGUCGAAAUGCUGCUAAGGGAAAAGAAUUGCAUGAAAAGGAAUUGCAUGAAAACCAUGAACAUGAAGUUUCUGAAGAAGAGAGAGUAAUUGAAAUUGAAGAUGUUGAUUUGGAUGAUUUUCCGUUUUUGGUGAAUGAAAUGACGACGAAUUUUCAGAGAAAUGAGUAUUGUAAAGAAGGGUUAAGAAGAUUGGGGAAGGAGAAAUUGAAGGAGAUGAAUGAGAAAUGGAUGGAGUUGAAAUUGGAAGAAUCUGAGCUUAUGGUGAACAAGGUUCAGUUGUAUCAUGAACAUUUGAAAUUAGUUGUUGAAGGUUCAAAGGGUUCUAGUAGCAAUGAGUAGAAUGAAAAUAGAAAGGUUGAAUUUCCAAAUCUGGGAAUUUGGUAGUCCUUUUUCAGUUUAACAAAAGAAGAAGAAGAUUUGAAUUUCUUUUGGUGUAGGUCUGUUGUAGAAUUGUUGAUGUAAAUGGCAACAUUGCAGCUUACAAGAAGUGUUGUUGUAACAUAGUGCAAUUUCACCAAAUGUUGUUCUAAUGGAGAACUUUCUUUUCUUUA